CAUACUCUGCUCCAUGAGGGAGCAGUCGCUAAAGAGCUCUGGAUAGACCAUGUAAGGUUCUGCAGGUGUCCCACCCUUCUCUCAUCACAUAGAUGCUUUAAAAGUGUACCGUGACGGGAGAAAGAAACAAUGGGAGGGAGCAGGGGAUGAAAGAAGACAUUCGACAAAGAUCCCAGGUCGGACUCCAAACGAGGGUGUCGUAGUUAGGCUACAUGUGUUUGUUGGGGUCAAAGGCUGAAAGCUGGUGAGUGGUGACCUGAGUGAGAGGCCUCGGUGACAUCUGACCUCUAACUGGUUGUGCGGCUGAUCCUGGAGGAUACAACUCAACAAUGGGAGGCACGUGCCUUGGCCUUGUCACCAUGGUAACACAGGACAUUUUGGAACGGUGAGGGGGGUGGGGGGUCAAAGCUGGGUCUUUAUCCUGAUCUGUGUUAACCGUCUGCUGCCAAUUACUUUUAUGUAUAUAAGAACGUACCCACCACAACACAGCGCAUGUGUGUGUGUGUGUGUGUGUGUGUGUGUGUGUGUGUGUGUGAGAGAGAGAGACGGUGCACGGGUGAAGAUAAAUAGGGGCUGACUGAGUAAUCUCUGCAGGCAACUGUGAUGGUGCUUUAAAUUCUCACAAUCACCUGGAGAGAUUCUGCAGUUUGUCUAAUAUGCCUUAAAAAAACUCCAUAAUACAAACCUUGUUUCAUCUCCAUUCUUCGUAUCACCAAUCAGAGCAACUAUGACGAAUUCUUUGCCAUUGCAAUACAUUACAUUUUUCAUUUGAGUGUUUUCUGCAACAUGUUGGGAGACCAAAUUGUUUACCAAAGGUUGGCUCAAAAACUGUCUGCCUCCGUGAAACGGUGAUUCAAGAGGAUUUUAACACUCUCAUUUGAGGUAAUGAUCAUUGCACAAUAGAAGAGAUGUUACUAUGACACUUUUGAUUAAUCUUUUUAUGCCUCACUAUUACAAGUCAAAACAGGUGGUUGUUUAAAAGAAGAAAAAGGGGUAGGUUAUUGAAUUACAGUCCUGAAUAAAGGCCAACAGGUGCAGUCCACCUGGAAGAAAACGUGUUUCACACUUUAUACUUUGCCUCUUUGAUGCUGUGCGAGCUGCAUGCUCACCACAGAUCACCACCAUCAUACAACCAUCCUGCCACCCCUAACAACACAGCACUAUACCUACAAUAUUACUCUUCAAAUUCCAUGUAAUGUAAUAUUUGACACAUCUGCAUUUUUGUCUUCAUUGCUACUACCAAUCUUCUUGUUUCUAGCCUGAGUCCUUUCCCCACUCUUACCCCUCCUCCACCUCUGCUUUUCCUGUCUCAUCCCCUUCUCCUUGUGUUCUGCUGUGUUUUGGUGAAAUCUCAGCUGGCAACUGUGAGUCGUUCACUAGCUGCUCUCACAAUGGCCUCUGGGAUUAUGCUAAACACAGCGCCUCGGCUGCUCUCCCCAUCGACCGGCGUCAGCGACGCCCUUUGGAGCACACAGGAAAGAGAUGGAGGGCUCUCAAUGAAGAUGUCACUGCAAUUACACAAGCGCGUUUCACAGACACCCUCUCUGUCUACUCAACCUCCUCUCGCAUCCCCCUUCCCCACUUUUAAAAAAUUUCUUUUCGACAGUCUUUUGAAGUGCAGCCUCAUCUCUUGCAGCUCUUUCAUAAUGCAUGCCCAUUUUGAAUUUGCAUGAAUUCACUUUCCAGAUGCUUCUGCUGCCAUCUUGACUUACAGUGAUGUGUACUGUACAGUAUUGGCUAUUGAAUUAUGAUAGCAUGAAAAGAAUAAUAAUAAUAAUGGCUUGUUUUUAGGAGUUUUGGUUAUUUUUGUGUCACUCAUCUCACCGUUAAGAGAUAUUGUGAAAGGAUCAAAAUGUGCUGUGAACUAGUCAGCUUUUGUUGCCCCUGCACUGAUGCUGGGGUGAAGGAAGAACUUUCUGAUGUGGAUGAUACUGCAUCAGGAACUGAUUGGCUGAUGCUCAAUAGCCAACAGUACCUGAUGCAUUGCCUUCAGCAUCGAAGGAAACGUCACAGACUACUGGCUCCUUUAAUGCUCUGAAAAAUGUACUUACAUAGUUACACUAGUGUAUUAGCCCUUUGUAUAUGAGUUUAUUUUUGCUCUUAGGACUGUUAAGCAGUGAUAAUGAACAGAUUCUCAGCAAUAUACCUUACACACUUACCAUGUGAUUGCCCCAGAGCACAUGUAUGUGCAUGUGUGUGUAUGUUAGUCACUAUUGUGGGCUGGGGGAUUAGGUAAUAAUGAUCUAAGAGAUGUUGUUAAUCGCAAAGCGGUAUUUAUGGUAAGCUACCAUUCCAAUUUAUCACUCUUGCAUUUAAAUGUAUGUUGGUGCGAUCUGGUGUAUUAUGUUACCCUAUUGUUCACUUAAGUCUAAAUCGGUUGUUUUUAGGUCAUAUGUUAGCAUGUUUUUCUUGCAGGCUAACUUUUCUGAAGGAAGAUGUUUUAAUACAAUGUUUAAAGUGCACUUCUGCACAGAUGUUCAAAUGUACUGUAUCAGAACAGUGCUUUUGUAACAUUAAUGUGAGAAGGAUCAUCUGCUUUGACUUUAAUAGCAUUUCUGUGGAUGCUUUCUCACACCUAGAGGUGCACCCAGUGGGGUGGGAGCUCGCCAGGGGAAUGUUCUCUUUUCUUCUCUUUUAUCAGUCUUGGAUAAAAUCUUCAAUUUAUCUCGAUAAACUGUUUCAAAACGGCUUUGAUUAAUCAAGUGCUUUAUCUUAGUGUCUCUGCCAUUUUUGUGCAUCUGUUGAAUAGAUUGCCAAGUAAAAUAAACUUUUAAGUGAA